AGUGAACGCUGGCGGUAGGCCUAACACAUGCAAGUCGAACGGCAGCACAGGAGAGCUUGCUCUCUGGGUGGCGAGUGGCGGACGGGUGAGGAAUACAUCGGAAUCUACUCUGUCGUGGGGGAUAACGUAGGGAAACUUACGCUAAUACCGCAUACGACCUACGGGUGAAAGCAGGGGAUCUUCGGACCUUGCGCGAUUGAAUGAGCCGAUGUCGGAUUAGCUAGUUGGCGGGGUAAAGGCCCACCAAGGCGGCGAUCCGUAGCUGGUCUGAGAGGAUGAGCAGCCACACUGGAACUGAGACACGGUCCAGACUCCUACGGGAGGCAGCAGUGGGGAAUAUUGGACAAUGGGCGCAAGCCUGAUCCAGCCAUACCGCGUGGGUGAAGAAGGCCUUCGGGUUGUAAAGCCCUUUUGUUGGGAAAGAAAUCCAGCUGGCUAAUACCCGGUUGGGAUGACGGUACCCAAAGAAUAAGCACCGGCUAACUUCGUGCCAGCAGCCGCCGCCG
rnacentral:rRNA from 1 species